GGCACGUCUGGUCCACGCGCUGCCGCCACUGGCGGCGCGUGGACCCACGCGCCACCACGAAAAGACUGGGACAGGGGAGAUUCCGAAACGGCUUCCUCCCCUCUUCACUUUCCUCGCCAGCGGCGACAACGCCGUUACCUGCAAAACAAACAAAAACGCAGCAAGCAAGUCUUUCUUUAUUUUCAAUCUGGCUUCUCUUCCUUCAGAUCUGCCAAGUCUGGAGCCGGGCGUGUGGAUGGCUGGAUCGGCAUCUUCCCUCCUCCCAUUUCAUUUCUGCAACGGCGGUGUUGUCCACCGCUGCCAUGGUUGUGAGAUCGGCGCCCAUCCAAGCUUCGGUUUUCUGCCCCUUCUUCACUGUCCUCUGGCCUCCCUUCUCAUUUCCUCGCCGUAUCCGUAAUGAGCUGCUGGGGAAGGGACGAUGCUGCUGUUGGCCGGUUGAUGGUGGUUGGCCGAGAGAGGAAGGCGCUGCUGUUUCUGGGGAAGAUGGGGGCGGCUGAGAGAUGAGGGGCUGCUGUGUUUGGCCGGUUGGAGAAGAAACGACUGAGAGGGGUUUAUGUGGGAGGGAGACGGUGGAGAGGGAGUGUUGGCUGUGCUGGGUUAUUGUUGCUUGUGGUCAGAUGAAGAGAGUAAGGGGGAGAUGAUUCAGUGGCUGCGAUGGUCUGGUGGAGGUGGGGUUUUCGGGAGGCUGAGGAAGAAAAGAAAAAAUGGCUUUUGAGGGGGGCUGUCGGCUGUGUUUUGGCCGGUUGAGGGAGAAGAAGUGGGGGCCGACGUGCAGGGGAGGUUGGUGUCGGCUGGGAGAAGAAAAAAAAUGGCUUCGGGGUGGAGCUGUGUGUGGGGGAAGGAAGAAGAGAAAAAUCAAAAAUCAAAGGGGUGGGGGGCUCCGGCGUUUUGCCUCUCGUGAGGGAGAAGAAGAAAAGUUUCAAACCUGGGGGUUGCUGGCGGCUCCUCUUCCAGUCAGGGAUAAAAAAAAACCAAGCUUUUCUUAGGGUUUUUUCUUUUGUGUUGCCUCCCCUAAAUUACAAAAUCGCCCCCUCCCUUUUCUUUGAGUUUUCAACCCAUAUUUAUAGGUGAAAUUUUGUUCAAGCCUCCAAAUUGGUCCCUCAUUUUUUUUUUAUUGUUUUCUUGUAUUUUUUAAAAACGAGCAAUAUCAACGUCGAUUCAACGAGGAAAAUCAAUGAUUUUAAAAAUGACGCGUGAAAAGUCGAACGCGUUUGAAAAUCUUUUUUUUAAAAAAUUAAAAUUCUUUUUUUUAGACGACGUUGAAAAUGCUAAAAUGACGAAAAUAUAUUAAAAAACAUAUUUUUUUGGAUUUUCUUUGUUUUUCUCUAUUAUUGGAUUUUUCAAAAAAUUUAUUAAAAAGAUGGGUCAAAAAUUGGGUAACAACAGAUGCCCCCUCUUUACAAUGCUUACGAAGCAAAACUCCUCAAUGUUUUGCAUAGUAAGCUUUGUAAAGAAGUGGUCUAUUUUCAGGGGCGACUGGCCCACACAAUCACACUGGUCUACUUUCACGGGCGACCUGCCCACACAUACUCACUCUGGUCUGUUUUCAGGGGCGACCUGCCCACACACUCACACUAGUCUAUUUUCACGGGCGACCUUCCCUUUUGAUUGGGUUUUCGGUGUGUAGCUCGAUCAACCUGAAAUCCCAUCUAGUGAUUCUGCGUGAUUAAGCUAAACUGAGAUCCCUUCGCCGAUCCCCUUUAACCAUAACCAAGGUCUGUGUGGUUAGACUGAACUGAGAUCCCUUCGCCGAUCCCCUUCAACCAGAACCAAAAUCCUUUCCAAUUAGGUUAAACUGAGAUCCCUUUGUCGAUCCCCUUUCACCAUAACCAAGGUCUGUGUGGUUAGACUGAACUGAGAUCCCUUCGUCGAUCCCCUUCAACCAGAACCAAAAUCCUUUCCAAUUAGGUUAAACUGAGAUCCCUUUGUCGAUCCCUUUUAACCAUAACCAAGGUCUGUGUGGUUAGACUGAACUGAGAUCCCUUCGUCGAUCCCCUUCAACCAGAACCAAAAUCCUUUCCAAUUAGGUUAAACUGAGAUCCCUUUGCCGAUCCCCUUUAACCAUAACCAAGGUCUGUGUGGUUAGACUGAACUGAGAUCCCUUCGCCGAUCCCCUUCAACCAGAACCAAAAUCCUUUCCAAUUAGGUUAAACUGAGAUCCCUUUGUCGAUCCCCUUUAACCAUAACCAAGGAAUUGUAGGGUUGGGCUAGACUGAGAUUCCUUUCGGCAAUCCCCUCUAACCAGAACCAAAAUCCUUUCCAAUUAGGUUAAACUGAGAUCCCUUUGCCGAUCCCCUUUAACCAUAACCAAGGAAUUGUAGGGUUGGGCUAGACUGAGAUUCCUUUCGGCAAUCCCCUCUAACCAGAACCAAAAUCCUUUCCAAUUAGGUUAAACUGAGAUCCCUUCGUCGAUCCCCUUUAACCAUAACCAAGGAAUGUGUAGGGUUGGGCUAGACUGAGAUUCCUUUCGGCAAUCCCCUCUAACCAGAACCAAAAUCCUUUCCAAUUAGGUUAAACUGAGAUCCUUUGCCGAUGCCCUUUAACCAUAACCAAGGAAUGUGUGGUUGGGCUGAACUGAGACCCCUUCGCCGAUCCCCUUCAACCAGAACCAAAAUCCUUUCCAAUUAGGUUAAACUGAGAUCCCUUCGUCGAUCCCCUUUAACCAUAACCAAGGAAUGUGUAGGGUUGGGCUAGACUGAGAUUCCUUUCGGCAAUCCCCUCUAACCAGAACCAAAAUCCUUUCCAAUUAGGUUAAACUGAGAUCCCUUUGCCAAUUCCCUUUAACCAUAACCAAAGAAUGUGUAGGGUUGGGCUAGACUGAGAUUCCUUUCGACAAUCCCCUCUAACCAGAACCAAAAUCCUUUCAAUUAGGUUAAACUGAGAUCCCUUCGUCGAUCCCCUUUAACCAUAACCAAGGAAUGUGUAGGGUUGGGCUAGACUGAGAUUCCUUUCGGCAAUCCCCUCUAACCAGAACCAAAAACCUGUGUGUUGUUGGGAUAGACUGAGAUUCCAUUCGGCAAUCUCCUCUAACCAGAACCAAAAACCUGUGUGUGGUUGGGAUAGACUGAGAUUCCUUUCGGCAAUCCCCUCUAACCAGAACCAAAAUCCUUUCCAAUUAGGUUAAACUGAGAUCCCUUUGCCAAUGCCCUUUAACCAUAACCAAGGAAUGUGUAGGGUUGGGCUAGACUGAGAUUCCUUUCGACAAUCCCCUCUAACCAGAACCAAAAUCCUUUCAAUUAGGUUAAACUGAGAUCCCUUCGUCGAUCCCCUUUAACCAUAACCAAGGAAUGUGUAGGGUUGGGCUAGACUGAGAUUCCUUUCGGCAAUCCCCUCUAACCAGAACCAAAAACCUGUGUGUUGUUGGGAUAGACUGAGAUUCCAUUCGGCAAUCUCCUCUAACCAGAACCAAAAACCUGUGUGUGGUUGGGAUAGACUGAGAUUCCUUUCGACAAUCCCCUCUAACCAGAACCAAAAUCCUGUGUGUGAUUGGGAUAGACUGAGAUUGCUUUCGACAAUCCCCUCUAACCAGAACCGAAAUCCUGUGUGUAGCUCGGUCAACCUGAAAUCCCAUCUAGCGAUUCCCUUUAACCAAAGCUACAUGAGAUCCCAUCUGGCAACCUCAUUUAACCAAAACAAAAGAAUGUAAAAAAGAAAACGGUCUUAUUGUAAUGGGUGACCUACCCAGGUGGAAAGAAUAUGAAAAAUGGUCUCAUUAUGAUGGGUGACCUACCUAGAUGGAAAGAAUAUGAAGUGCGGUCUUAUUAUAAUGGGUGACCUACCCAAAUAGAAAAAAUAUGAAGUGUGGUCUCAUUGUAAUGGGUGACCUACCUAGAUGGAAAAAAUAUGAAGAAGUGCGGUCUCAUUGUCAUGGGUGACCUACCCAGAUGGAAAAAUAUGAAGUGUGGUCUCAUUGUAAUGGGUGACCAACCCAAGUGGAAGAUGUGAUAUGACAAGUGUGAAAAAUAGGACUUACCUGGCGAAGUUGAGGGGAUGACAGAAGAAGGGCUGGAAAACUUGGUGCUUCCUGAUAAUUCCCGAUCAUAGGGUUUGAAAACUCGUGUUUCCUGACUGCAAGGGUUGAAAACUCGAGGCUUCCCGAUUGCAAGGUUGAUCUUUCAUUUCUUUGGGAUUUCCUAAUGGUAGGGUUCAUCCCAUCUUCCUUUUAUUCCAUGAUCAAAAACUCUUUAUUAUCAUCACCACAAUGCUUCUUUCUUUUUCCACCAUCUUGCUGGACCUCAUUAAGGAUUUUCCUGUAACAAUUCAAAAAUAUGUGCAAAUGGUUUUUUUUUUUUUUGAGGUUAGAUGAUAUGCAUGCAUCCUUACCUGAUUUGAAAUAUAGGUCCCCCCUCUUUGAUGCUCCAUCGUCAUAGGGUGCCCUUGUUUGUAUCCCAAAGCUUUCUUUGUUCUUCCGAUGCAUUGGCUCAUUCAUGUGCUAGCCAUCCACUCAGCUGUAAAUGCAGUGCCCAUCCCGGGCUGUCUUCGACAAUUACUGCUUGCAUCGUUCAUCAAGCUUGACCCUGCCCCCAAGUGUGGUACUGCUUGAUUCAUCAUGAAGGAUUUUCUCUCCUGGCUUCUUCUGAGAAUUAUCCUCUGAUUGAUUGUGUGCAUCAUGCCAAUACCCAUCAGAUUGUUAAUCAGUCAUGAACUUGCCUCUAGUUGAAACAAUACUCUUCAAGUACAUGUUAUCAUCAGCCUUCUUGGAACUCAUCAGUCAUCCAGACAUGCAUCUCAUAGCUUGCAGUACAAAGGCUCAUGGUUGUAUGCUCAGUGCUCUUCUCAUAGAUUCCUUUCAACUCUUCUAAUCAGAUUGUGAAAAGAAAUGUCUCAGCCUCAUCAAUGAUGCUGCUUUUUAUCACCCAUACUCAUGCGGUGAAGCGCUCAUCUGGCUUCAGAACAAGUUGUCCCACAAUCAGUCUUCGAGGUGGGUGCCUUUCCGACAUUCAUUCAGUGCAGUUGUGUGAACAUCUGUCUAUAACCAUGUUUCAAAGAAUGACAAUAUGAGAUUGUCCUUUAAGUGCAGCAUUGUUCCACAGUCAGUCUUGGUGGUGUGCAUCUUUUCACCAUUCAAUUACAUUCAUCUGUGUAUCUUCAUCGAUUGCUAGCCAUGUUUCAAAAGAUGAUGAUAUGAAAGUGUCCUUCAAGUACAUCCUUGUUUCUCCAUUGCCGACAGGGUUCACUAGAGCAUGGGCCAUUUUGGAAUGACAUUGCCCCCAGUAUGAUCUGAAUGUGCUCGUUCAUUGAUUAUCUGUCUUUGAACAUCAUUGUCUUCAGUUCACUGAUUCAUCAUUUAAUCAUUGCCUCAUAGCUGAUCUGAGCAUUGCUUGUUUUUCCUUUUCAAGGUCUACUGUAUUGCCCCCAGCUGCUCAACUUUUCAAGGAGUGUCGAGGACUUCAAUGUCAUUUCUAUCAACGAUUUUGCAUACUCAAUCAAUGUUCUUCUGUGUUUGAUAAUCUUCCUUGUUCUGGAAUCAACUCUCAUAUUUCAAAGAUCAUGUCUAUUCAAAGUCUAGUUUGUUGAAAUGAAAUCAGAGAUGUCCUUUUUGAAAAUCUUUUGAAAAUCAAGCUUUUUGAUCAAAGACCCAACACACGUUAUUCGAAAUACACAGUCCUUUGAUUGUCUUGUAUUUUGAAAACAGAAAUGACCCGUUGUAGAUUAAAAUGGUUUUUCCAUGGUUCUUUUGUAUCAUUUAAACUCUGAUUUGGGUAUUUUUGAUGGUCUAUGAUGAGGUGACCUUUUAUGAAUUUCAAAAACAAGAUGCUCAGGCUUUAUCAAGAAAGGUUUUCUUAGCAUUUAUUUUAUCAGCAUGCAUAAUAACCAGUAGCUUAAUUCAUGAAGUCACGACCCUUAUGGAAAAGCUCUUCAAGUUUUGAGAGCGCCAUUUAUCGGUUCAAAUUGCUUGCUUGAUUAAAAAGGGCUUUUAAAAAGCACGUAAUGCAGGCUAUGGUUCAUGGCUAUGAAAGAAAGGAAUUUCAAAGGCUCAAAAGGUGUUUGAGGGUUUCAAAGACCUAGGAUCAACAUCAACUUUCUCUAUUGUUGUCUUUGUAGAGGAAACGACAUAUAACCUUGUUAACCUCAAAGUUCAGACUUUUCUUAACAUAAGUCAUAAUGCAAAUCCACCUUUCCUUGAUGAAUAACCAACCUUAAUCAUCUGAUAACAUCGUAGGCUUUAUAAUGGAUACCAAAAGUCACGUUUAGUCUUUUUUCUGGUAUUGACUUUUGUUGUGUCUUUCCUUGAUUGAAAUUUCUUUUGCUCUUUAUAGACUUGAUAGGCGUUCUCCUUCCUUUAUCUUUGACUUGUAUUUAAGUGAGGGCAAUUUCAACUUCCUUUUUUUCAUUCUCUUUUUUUUUCAUAGCCUUCCUCAAAAUUUUCUUAUAUGCCCCUAGUCUAUGUGUUUUCUUCUAGCUCUCUCUCAAUCAUUGGACUUUUGUUCUAAGCCUUCUUUAUCCAUUAAUUAUAUCAAUGUCUCCAAAAUAUCUCUCAUUUGCCCCCAGUGUGGGGUGUGAUCCUAGUCAGGGUUUUUUUUUAUGAAAAUAUUUUAUCCAGCUCAAAAUGGGACUACAAGGGAUAUAAUCUUUAGAAAGUGAAGGGAUAUCAAAGAUGGCCUUUUCUCAUUUCAAGCAAGGUCGGUUAGAACCGAUAAAUUUUGACCUCAUCCAGUGUAAUGAUUGGACUUGUAAGAAUCAUGAUUCACGAGUCCAUAACUACCGAAUCCACUACAUGUCAUUAUGCAUACUGUUAAAACUUAGCUAUAUGAUGUGUGGUUCAGUUUCAGGAGGUAUGAGUUCAAAAUUGUUUAGUCACCUCAUGUCAUUUUCAACAUCGAGUCAUUUCUGUAAUCAAAACACUUUUAAUCUUGGAUUGAUUACCUUUAUCGCAUGUUGGAGUUUGAUCAAAAUAUUUUGUCAGAAUAAAAUGCUAAACAUCUGUUGAUUUCAAAACAACAAAAAGACAAAAGCAAGGCAUGUUUCGUUGAAGGAUGAGAUGUGAUCCAAAACAAAAUGCAGAAUUCCAUAACAAUAUGAUUGACAGUUCAUCCAUUCUUGAAUCAGCUUUUCUGGCAAUAUCUGUGUUUUUCCAAGCACUUUGGAUCACAUGUCAUUCUGAAGAUGUUCGGGGAACAAUAUAGCCAAUGACACCAUCCUUCACUGACUCGACUUGUCUCUUGCUCACCAACUUGCAGAGCCAUAAAUGGAUUUUUGUAGAGGGAGCUCUUCCCCAGUGGAGUCGCCAUUCUGUCGCACGUCAAAAAAAAUCCGCACGCGGCAUCGAUUGGCGAUUAUUCGUUCUGUUUUGUUGAUUUGGUUCUUUGGAGUCGCCACCUAGUAAUUCAUUAAGGGCUACUAGGAAACCUGAUGUACUGGUCUUGUCAGAGAUCUUGGGUAAGGGACUGGUUGUGGUUAGGGAAGGUAUUAGCACCCCUAACGCACCCUACCUGAGGUAAGCUGCUUUGUCGACUUGAUGUGUUAAAGAAGUUUUAAAAAUUUUGUUCUUUCAUCGAAUUUUAGAAAAUACAACUUACAUGUAAGUUCAUAAUUCUUUAUCUGUGAUCAAAUCAGAAUAUUAAAUUCUUCUUUAUUCUUGCAAUUUUAUCAUAAUAAUAAUAAAAAAAACAUUCAUAAACAAAAAUACACACAACAUUCACUUUCAAGCUUCGUGGACUUGAUGUGAUAUUAAAAAUAAAAUUUUAGCCCAAUUCUAAGGCUUUGAUAAAUCAGUUAUUACUUUUCCAGACUAUAUGUAGAUACAUGUUCUACAUUUCCAUGGAAAAUUCAACAUGAUUUUUAUCUGUCCUUUAGAUAUUUGUGCAUAUAAAUUAAAUUCCUUUUUUUUUAUUCAAUAACAUACCUAAAAAAAAAACAUACAAGCACACACAAACAUUUCCUUUUUUUUUUAUUUAUCACUUUCUCUUUUCUUUUCUUUUCUUUUUAUUUUACCAUCCCCAUUUCCAUAAUACAAAAAACAAAUUCAAAACCAAAUAAAAAAAUUACAUCAAACAAAUUUUAAAUUACAAAACAGCCCUUAAAAACUCCAGGAAUUGCAGGGGAGCCCUCCAUGCAUGCCAAAACAGUGCUGGCACGUCUGGUCCACGCGCUGCCGCCACUGGCGGCGCGUGGACCCACGCGCCACCACGAAAAGACUGGGACAGGGGAGAUUCGAAACGGCUUCCUCCCCUCUUCACUUUCCUCGCCAGCGGCGACAACGCCGUUACCUGCAAAACAAACAAAAACGCAGCAAGCAAGUCUUUCUUUAUUUUCAAUCUGGCUUCUCUUCCUUCAGAUCUGCCAAGUCUGGAGCCGGGCGUGUGGAUGGCUGGAUCGGCAUCUUCCCUCCUCCCAUUUCAUUUCUGCAACGGCGGUGUUGUCCACCGCUGCCAUGGUUGUGAGAUCGGCGCCCAUCCAAGCUUCGGUUUUCUGCCCCUUCUUCACUGUCCUCUGGCCUCCCUUCUCAUUUCCUCGCCGUAUCCGUAAUGAGCUGCUGGGGAAGGGACGAUGCUGCUGUUGGCCGGUUGAUGGUGGUUGGCCGAGAGAGGAAGGCGCUGCUGUUUCUGGGGAAGAUGGGGGCGGCUGAGAGAUGAGGGGCUGCUGUGUU
rnacentral:lncRNA from 1 species